rnacentral:rRNA from 1 species
UACGUAGGGUGCGAGCGUUAAUCGGAAUUACUGGGCGUAAAGCGUGCGCAGGCGGUUGUGUAAGACAGAUGUGAAAUCCCCGGGCUCAACCUGGGAACUGCGUUUGUGACUGCACAACUAGAGUACGGCAGAGGGAGGUGGAAUUCCGCGUGUAGCAGUGAAAUGCGUAGAGAUGCGGAGGAACACCGAUGGCGAAGGCAGCCUCCUGGGCCAGUACUGACGCUCAUGCACGAAAGCGUGGGGAG